CGAGGCGGUGCCCGCGGUGGCGGCCGAGGAGGCGAGCAGCUCCGGCCCGACCAAGUUCUCCGUGAAAAUUCCCGUCGGCGACCGCCACGUAAGCCGCUAGCCUAUACCCCUUCUGUUCCUCCAUUUCCGCGCGCAAUGCCCUGUUAAGUGUAUGCGCAUUGCAGUAUUGGGAUUUUGAACUCUGUCGCGCGACAUUCGGUUGUUUCAGUGUGCACCUUUUUGUAAGGUAACCAUGUAUGUGCGCGUUGCCACGGGGACCAAAUGUUUUUUUAACACAACAAGAGGACUAUACGGGACAAAGCUUCAUGCAAAACAAUUAGACAAAAUAAUAGUAUUAUGUUUUGGUUGUAAAUCAU
rnacentral:lncRNA from 1 species